rnacentral:rRNA from 1 species
UGGGGAAUCUUGCGCAAUGGGCGAAAGCCUGACGCAGCGACGCCGCGUGAGUGAUGAAGGCCUUCGGGUUGUAAAGCUCUGUGGGGAGAGACGAAUAAGUGCAGCCUAAUACGUUGCAUGAUGACGGUAUCUCCUUAGCAAGCACCGGCUAACUCUGUGCCAGCAGCCGCGGUAAGACAGAGGGUGCAAACGUUGUUCGGAAUUACUGGGCGUAAAGCGUGUGUAGGCGGUCCACUAAGUCGGGUGUGAAAGCCCUGGGCUCAACCCAGGAAGUGCACUCGAAACUGGCGGGCUAGAGUAUCGGAGAGGUUGGUGGAAUUCUCGGUGUAGAGGUGAAAUUCGUAGAUAUCGAGAGGAACACCGGUGGCGAAGGCGGCCAACUGGACGAAUACUGACGCUGAGACACGAAAGCGUGGGGAGCAAACAGGAUUAGAUACCCAGGUAGUCCACGCCGUAAACGAUGGGUGCUAGGUGUCGCGGGCUUUGACC